rnacentral:rRNA from 1 species
UACAGGGGGUGCAAACGUUGCUCGGAAUUACUGGGCGUAAAGCGUGCGUAGGCGGUUCGUUAAGUGCGUCGUGAAAGCCCCGGGCUCAACCUGGGAAUGGCGAUGGAAACUGGCGGGCUGGAGUAUGGCAGAGGGGGGUGGAAUUCCGCGUGUAGCAGUGAAAUGCGUAGAGAUGCGGAGGAACGCCGAUGGCGAAGGCAGCCCCCUGGGCCAAUACUGACGCUCAGGCACGAAAGCGUGGGGAGCAAACAGG